AACGCUAGCUACAGGCUUAACACAUGCAAGUCGAGGGGCAGCAUGAAGUCAGCUUGCUGACUUUGAUGGCGACCGGCGCACGGGUGAGUAACGCGUAUCCAACCUUCCCCUUACUCAGGAAUAGCCCGUUGAAAGACGGAUUAAUGCCUGAUGUUCUCAUUUUCUGGCAUCAUGGAAUGAGCAAAGAUUCAUCGGUAAGGGAUGGGGAUGCGUAUGAUUAGCUUGUUGGCGGGGUAACGGCCCACCAAGGCGACGAUCAUUAGGGGUUCUGAGAGGAAGGUCCCCCACACUGGAACUGAGACACGGUCCAGACUCCUACGGGAGGCAGCAGUGAGGAAUAUUGGUCAAUGGAGGCAACUCUGAACCAGCCAAGUAGCGUGCAGGAAGACGGCCCUAUGGGUUGUAAACUGCUUUUAUGCGGGGAUAAAUGAGCCUACGCGUAGGUUUUUGCAGGUACCGCAUGAAUAAGGACCGGCUAAUUCCGUGCCAGCAGCCGCGGUAAUACGGAAGGUCCAGGCGUUAUCCGGAUUUAUUGGGUUUAAAGGGAGCGUAGGCGGCCUGUUAAGCGUGUUGUGAAAUGUAGUGGCUCAACCUCUGCACUGCAGCGCGAACUGGCGGGCUUGAGUUGGCUGAAAGUAUGCGGAAUUCGUGGUGUAGCGGUGAAAUGCUUAGAUAUCACGAAGAACUCCGAUUG
rnacentral:rRNA from 1 species